UUUGUCUCACAGAAAAUAAACUUGACCCUGUUAGUCUGUGGGUAGCCUGUGUUGUCUUGAAAUUACUUAGUUUGGAUGAUUGAGAAGUAGAUGUUUUUGGGAGAGUGAGAAUAGAGUAUUUCUGUGACCAUGAGAAUAUGGGAUUGAAAUACAUGUGAACCUUUACAGCAUAAAUUUCACCAAAGAGCUGCUAAGCAGUGGCUUUGUGAUAAUUAAACGUAUGUUCUUUAAUAUUAGUUUAACAAAAUAACAGGUCAUCUUCUGUGAUGGUUAUUUCUUUUAAGGAAAAUUGUAGCUGGGCUCUAUCACACCUGCCU
rnacentral:lncRNA from 1 species